rnacentral:misc_RNA from 1 species
UUUCCGUAGGUGAACUGCGGAAGGAUCAUUAAUAAAUGGUCUACGUUUUAAGUAGACACUUAAUAAUCCUACCCUUUUGAAUUUGUUGUUUGAAAUAAUUUUUUUAAAAUUAUUGAUUGUCUUCCCUGUUGAAUAGAAUGUUUUCGAACAUGAAAUUCGCAGGGAGUGUCAGUAAUUUUAAAAAGACCUUUUUUAAAAUUAAACUUUUGUAUUCAUUGUCUAAAAUUAUUUUUAUAAUAUAAAAACAACUUUGACAAUGGAUCUCUUGGUUCUCGCAACGAUGAAGAACGCAGCAAAAUGCGAUAAGUAGUGUGAAUUGCAGAAUACGUGAAUCAUCGAAUCUUCGAACGCAUAUUGCACUUUUUUAGUUUACUAAAAAGUAUGUCUGUUUGAGUACCAGUAAAUAUUCUCAUAAAAACUAUUGUUUUAUGUUAUGAGUGUUUUACAACGAUACAGUUGUUUCACUUUAAAUUUUUUAAAUUGAAUUUUCUAAUUUAAAAUAAAUUGGAUAAAUUUUCCCGUAAAAAGAAUAACCUAAACAAUUUUAGUUUUUUGAUUAGAAUUUUCAUUAUAAAGGAAAUUUAAUAAUAACUUGAUCUCAAUCAGAUAAGAGUACCCGCUGAACUUAAGCAUAUCAAUAAGCGAGGAAAAGAAACUAACAAGGAUUCCUUAGUAACGGCGAGUGAAGCGGGAAGAGCUCAAUUUGAAAUCUUCAAGGUUUACCUGAAGAAUUGUAGUUUAAAGAAGUGUUUUCUGUUGAAGUUUGGUAAAAGUUCUUUGGAAUAGGACAUCAUAGAGGUGAGAAUCCGUAUUUGACCAUUAUUUUCAGCUGUGUGAUACACUUUCAAAGAGUCGGAUUGUUUGGGAAUGCAGUCCAAAAUGGGUGGUAAAUUUCAUCUAAAGCUAAAUAUUGGCGAGAGACCGAUAGCGAACAAGUACGUGAGGAAAGAUGAAAAGAACUUUGAAAAGAGUUAAACAGUACGUGAAAUUGUCAAAAGGGAAGCGUUUGACACCAGUGUUGUUUUCUCGGAAAUCAAUUAAAAAGAGUUGGAUUUUGUGUUGUAUUGACCUUAACAGCUUGCUUCACUCUUUCCUGCUUUUUUAAUGCACUUUUCGUUUAACAAGUCACAUCAGUUUCUUUUGUUGUAAAAGGGUCAUCGGAAGGUGCUUUCUCUUCGGAGAAAGUGUUUAUAGCCUUCGAUCUCUGCAAUCGGAGAGACUGAGGUCUGCAGCGUAGAUCCUUCGGGUUAGAUACAUUGUGCUAACUACAGCUUUUCAUAGACAACUUGUUGACUAUGUUAGUCUUGUAACUUACCCGCUUAUGCUAUUU